UACGUAGGGCGCAAGCGUUGUCCGGAAUUACUGGGCGUAAAGAGCUCGUAGGUGGUUUGUCGCGUUGUUCGUGAAAACUCACAGCUCAACUGUGGGCGUGCGGGCGAUACGGGCAGACUAGAGUACUGCAGGGGAGACUGGAAUUCCUGGUGUAGCGGUGGAAUGCGCAGAUAUCAGGAGGAACACCGGUGGCGAAGGCGGGUCUCUGGGCAGUAACUGACGCUGGAGGAGCGAAAGCGUGGGGAGCGAACAGG
rnacentral:rRNA from 1 species